GCAUGCCUACAACAUAGUGUUAAUGCAUCAGAUAUCAUUAUAAAUCCAUAGUUAAUCAUGCUCAGGAUAGAGUAGUAUUGGGAUGGGUGACCUCCUGGUAAGUCCUAUUAUUUUACAAGCC
rfam:Picea glauca, whole genome shotgun sequence.